AGGAGGGAGCAUUUGCCAAUUGCCACUGGUUCCACACACAGAGAGAGAGACAUGGAUUUAGCUUGUUAUCCGAACAAGACAACAACCUUCAAAACUCUCAAACUCGCUUCCACUUCCACUUCCACUUCUUCUUCCUCAAUUUUUGUUUUUCCUUCGCUUCACAAAACUAAAACUCUAACCAUUCAUUCCCAUAAAUUUCCAUUUCCACGACUCACUAAAGCUCUCUCCACCUCUCCCGCCGCCGUCCAAACUU
rnacentral:lncRNA from 1 species